UGAGGAAUACUGCGCAAUGGGGGAAACCCUGACGCAGCGACGCCGCGUGAGUGAUGAAGGCCUUCGGGUUGUAAAGCUCUGUCAGAGGGAAAGAAAGGGGAUGCGGAAUAAUACCCACAGCCAUUGACGGUACCCUCGGAGGAAGCACCGGCUAACUCCGUGCCAGCAGCCGCGGUAAUACGGAGGGUGCAAGUGUUAUUCGGAAUCACUGGGCGUAAAGAGCACGUAGGCGGAUGGGUAAGUCAGAUGUGAAAUCCCGGGGCUCAACUUCGGAACUGCAUUUGAUACUGCCCGUCUUGAGUGUGGUAGAGGGGGAUGGAAUUCCCGGUGUAGAGGUGAAAUUCGUAGAUAUCGGGAGGAACACCAGAGGCGAAGGCGAUCCCCUGGGCCAUUACUGACGCUGAGGUGCGAAAGCGUGGGGAGCAAACAG
rnacentral:rRNA from 1 species